rnacentral:rRNA from 1 species
ACCGCUGGUGUAUCAGUUGUGCCGCCAGGUGCAGUGCUGAGUAGCUACGUUGGGCAGAGAUAAGCGCUGAAAGCAUCUAAGUGCGAAACUCCCCUCGAGAUGAGACUUCUUUUAAGGGACGUUGGAGAUGACAACGUUGAUAGGCUGCAGGUGUAAAGGCAGAAAUGUCAUAGCUGAGCAGUACUAAUUACCCGUAAGCUUU